rnacentral:lncRNA from 1 species
AGGGUGCACCUUACUUUAAGUAGGGCUAAAGGAAGGAGACUUACUUAAUUUACACUAUUUUUUUAAGAUUAAUUUUGUAGGAGUGUUUUUUAGGGUGUAGUUCAUGCUUCCUACUUGCCUGAAGCUUUGGGGUUGAUAGGCACAAUGGAGCUUCUGUUGAAUGUUUAAUGCCUUACUGACUGACUGAGCUAUAGGCGAGGUGAAGGCUGCUCUAUUAUCAGACUUUAUGGCAGCAGACAGCCUAUAUUGAGGGAUGAUUUCAUUGAGUAAAAACUUAACUACUGUGUUGGUGGUUUCGUUUUUGGUAGAAAAUGCCUUAGUCUAUCUGGAGAAGGUGUCUACUAGUACUAGAAGGUAUUUGUACUUAGUCUGGUGUGGUUUUACUUCUGUAAAGUCAAUUUCUUUUUUCUUGGUGAGUUUUUUCAGAGACAGUGGCCUGGGCUGGGUUUAGGACUUUGUUUGGCAUUUAUGUGGGCGCAGGUUGUGCACUGGAGAGCUGCUUAAUCUGUUAGGCUUUGAAGAUGGGGGAUCUUAAAAUGGCUCCGGAGGAGCUGAGGUAGCUUUGCUCUUCUUAAAUGGGUGGUAGACUGUAGGUAACUGAUUAAAGUUUCUUUAAGAGUUCAGGGUAUGAAGAUUCCAGAGUCAGGAAGAAUCUACUAACUUUCCUGAUUUUUAUUGGCUCUGAGAUCUGAAGCCAGUUUUUUUGUUGUUGAGUAUACGGGAUUGUCAGGCAGAUCUGGCUGUGGAAAGGAGACUGUGGGCAGCAAGUUUAGAGGCGUGACUGAAAGUCUCGCUGCGACCUGAGCUGCUGAAUCAGCUUUCUGUUUACUGUGGGCAAUGGCUGUGUUUUCUUUUUGAUGUCCUUUGCAGUGGAUCACAGCUACCUGCUGAGACAGACAAGGGGAGUGGUUCCUGUGAUGGGAUCAGUCAGAUGCCUGCCUGGCCGCUCCCCCUGAGGGGACUUGGGCUCCUCUUAGCAUUGGCAGGCCGGUAUAAACUUCCGGCUCAGAUCGAGCUAUGCCUGAUGCUGCCUUAAGCCUUAUGAGGUCGCCAAGGAACCGCAGCUCCUCCCACUGAAGAAUUGGAGUAUAUUUCUCCAGCCCCUAAUGUUGGGUUUAGUCAUGUGUCUAGCUUUGGCCACUGGAAUAUUAAUCUGCAUGACCAAAAACUUGGAAUGUAUGCAUUCAUUUGUGCUCACUCGCUCCUGCUAUCACCAUGAGAACAAGCCCAGGCCAGCCUGCUGCUUCCAGCAGAAGAUAAGAGACACCAAGAGCAAAGCAGAGUUUCCCAGACAUGCUCAUGCUAGAUUAACCAAUCCUCAGCUGACCCAUAGAUCCAUGAAAAUAAAUGACUGUUGUAUUAAGCCUGGGUGACAGAGUGAGACUCCAUUGCUUAAAAAAGAGAAAAAAUAUUUCCCAGAUAAGCAAAAGACUGUUUGUUUGUGUCUUGUUUGUUGUGGUCCUACAAAAAAUGCUUAAGGGAGUCCUACACUGGGAAGCAAAAGAACAAUAUCUACCAUCAUGAAAAUACAUGAAAGUAUAAAACUCAUGGUAGUGCAGACACACAAAGGAGAAAGGAUUCAAACGUCACCAUUAAAGAAAACCACCAAACUGCAACAAUAAAUAAUGAGAGAAAAAAGGAA